rnacentral:rRNA from 1 species
AGUGAACGCUGGCGGUAGGCCUAACACAUGCAAGUCGAACGGCAGCACAGUAAGAGCUUGCUCUUACGGGUGGCGAGUGGCGGACGGGUGAGGCAUACAUCGGCAUCUACUUUUUCGUGGGGGAUAUCGUAGGGACACUUACGCUACUACCUCAUACUUCCAACGGCUUUAUUCAGGGGUUCUUUGGCCCUUUCGCGUUUCUUUUAGCCGAUGUCGGAUUAGCUAGUUGGCGGGGUAAAGGCCCACCAAGGCGACGAUCCGUAGCUGGUCUGAGAGGAUGAUCAGCCACACUGGAACUGAGACACGGUACAGACUACUACGGGAGGCAGCAGUGGGGAAUAUUGGACAAUGGGCGCAAGCCUGAUCCAGCAAUACCGCGUGGGUGAAGAAGGACUUCGGGUUGUAAAGCCCUUUUGUUGGGAAAGAAAAGCAGCAGGAUAAUACCCCGAUGUUCUGACGGUACCCAAAGAAUAAGCACCGGCUAACUUCGUG